rnacentral:rRNA from 1 species
GCGAGAAAGUAUCUUCGGAUAUGAGUAGAGCGGCGGACGGGUGAGUAACGCGUAGGAAUCUACCUAGUAGAAGGGGAUAGCCCGGGGAAACCCGGAUUAAUACCGUAUACCUCCUUCGGGAGAAAGAAGGCCUCUCUUUGAAGCUUUCGCUACUAGAUGAGCCUGCGUAAGAUUAGCUAGUUGGUGAGGUAAUGGCUCACCAAGGCUACGAUCUUUAGCUGGUCUGAGAGGACGAUCAGCCACAUUGGGACUGAGACACGGCCCAGACUCCUACGGGAGGCAGCAGUGGGGAAUAUUGGACAAUGGGCGCAAGCCUGAUCCAGCCAUACCGCGUGUGUGAAGAAGGCCUUCGGGUUGUAAAGCACUUUAAGCAGGGAGAAAAAGUUAUAGGUUAAUACCCUAUGACCUUGAUGUUACCUGCAGAAUAAGCACCGGCUAAUUCCGUGCCAGCAGCCGCGGUAAUACGGAAGGUGCAAGCGUUAAUCGGAAUUACUGGGCGUAAAGCGCGCGUAGGUGGUUUGUUAAGUUGGAUGUGAAAGCCCUGGGCUCAACCUAGGAACUGCAUCCAAAACUAACUCACUAGAGUACGAUAGAGGGAGGUAGAAUUCAUAGUGUAGCGGUGGAAUGCGUAGAUAUUAUGAAGAAUACCAGUGGCGAAGGCGGCCUCCUGGAUCUGUACUGACCCUGAGGUGCGAAAGCGUGGGUAGCGAACAGGAUUAGAUACCCUGGUAGUCCACGCCGUAAACGAUGACAACUAGCUGUUGGGAGACUAUGUCUUUCAGUGGCGCAGCUAACGCUUUAAGUUGUCCGCCUGGGGAGUACGGCGCAAGGCUAAAACUCAAGUGAACUGACGGGACC